rnacentral:tRNA from 1 species
GCCGGGUUGGCGAAAUUGGUAGACGCCCGGGACUUAAAAUCCUGUGGGACUAACCUCCCGUACCGGUUCGAGUCCGGUAUCCGGCACCA